UACGGAGGGGGCUAGCGUUGUUCGGAAUUACUGGGCGUAAAGCGCACGUAGGCGGCUUUGUAAGUUAGAGGUGAAAGCCCGGGGCUCAACUCCGGAAUUGCCUUUAAGACUGCAUCGCUAGAAUUGUGGAGAGGUAAGUGGAAUUCCGAGUGUAGAGGUGAAAUUCGUAGAUAUUCGGAAGAACACCAGUGGCGAAGGCGGCCUUCUGGACAGUGACUGACGCUGAGACGGCGAAAAGCGUGGGGAGCAAACAGG
rnacentral:rRNA from 1 species